rnacentral:tRNA from 1 species
GGAGGGAUGUCCGAGUGGUCUAAGGAGCCGGUCUUGAAAACCGGUGUUCCCGUCAGGGACCGUGGGUUCGACUCCCACUCCCUCCGCCA